UUAACUCUGAUUUGUAUGGAGUUGGAACAGCGCCCCUAGCGGCAAACGUAGGCAAACGUUCCAAUUCCAUACAAAUUUGAGUUA
rfam:Bombyx mori DNA, contig: Bm_scaf73_contig31392, strain: p50T/Dazao, build 2, whole genome shotgun sequence.